UUCAAGAGGUUCAAGAAAAUGACUUGCUGC
rnacentral:piRNA from 1 species